UGCUCACUUCGGCAGCACACAUACUAAAUUGAAACAAUACUGAGAAGAUUAGCAUGGCCCUUGUGCAAGGAUGACAUGGAUAUUUGUGAAAUGUUCCUUAAAUCU
ensembl:snRNA U6 U6 spliceosomal RNA